rnacentral:rRNA from 1 species
GACGAACGCUGGCGGCGUGCUUAACACAUGCAAGUCGAACGGAAAGGCCCUGCUUUUGUGGGGUGCUCGAGUGGCGAACGGGUGAGUAACACGUGAGUAACCUGCCCUUGACUUUGGGAUAACUUCAGGAAACUGGGGCUAAUACCGGAUAGGAGCUCCUGCUGCAUGGUGGGGGUUGGAAAGUUUCGGCGGUUGGGGAUGGACUCGCGGCUUAUCAGCUUGUUGGUGGGGUAGUGGCUUACCAAGGCUUUGACGGGUAGCCGGCCUGAGAGGGUGACCGGCCACAUUGGGACUGAGAUACGGGCCAGACUCCUUAGGGGGGCAGCAGUGGGGAAUAAUGCACCAUGGGCGGAAGCCUGAUGGAGCAACGCCGGGUGCGGGAUGACGGCCUUCGGGGUGUUAACCGCUUUCGCCUGGGACGAAGCGUGAGUGACCGUAAUGGGUAAAGAAGGAACGGCUAACUACGUG